UACGUAGGUGGCAAGCGUUGUCCGGAUUUACUGGGCGUAAAGCGUACGUAGGCGGCUUUUUAAGUCUAUGGUGAAAUCUCCUGGCUUAACCAGGAUGGGUCUGUAGAUACUGGAAGGCUUGAGUGUCGCAGAGGAAAGUGGAAUUCCCGGUGGAGUGGUGAAAUGCGUAGAUAUCGGGAGGAACACCAGUGGCGAAGGCGAUCUUCUGGACGGAUACUGACGCUGAGGCGCGAAAGCUAGGGGAGCAAACGGG
rnacentral:rRNA from 1 species